GCGGGCCCAACUGGGAGAACUGGGAUGGUCCCAGCAUGGUGGGCACCCAUGGGUCCAAUUGGGACAGUCCCAUCACAGUGGGCACCUAUGGGACCAACUGGGCCCAACUGGGAGUACUGGGAUGGUCCCAGCAUGGGGGACACCCAUGGGUCCAACUGGGACAGUCCUGUCAUGGUGGGCACCUAUCGGCCCUACUGGGCCCAACUGGGAGUACUGGGAUGGUCCCACCAGGGUGGGCACCCAUGGGCCCAAAUGGGACCAACUGGGAGUACUGGGAUGGACCCAUCAUGGUGGGCAUCCAUGGGCCCAACUGGGAUCAACUGGGAAUACUGGGAUGGUCCCACCAUGGUGGGCACUCAUGGAACCCAACUGGGCCCAACUGGGAGUACUGGGACGGUCCCACCAUGGUGGCCACCCAUGGGACCAACUGGACCUAACUGGGAGUACUGGGAUGGUCCCAUCAUGGUGGGCACCCAUGGAACCCAACUGGACCCAACUGGGAGUACUGGGUUGGACCCAUCAUGGUGGGCACCCAUGGGACCAACUGGGCCCAACUGGGAGUACUGGGAUGGUCCCACCAUGUUGGGCACCCAUUGGCCCAAUUGGGUCCAACUGGGAGUACUGGGAUGGUCCCAUCAUGGGGGACACCCAUGGAACCCAACUGGGCCCAACUGGGAGUACUGGGACGGUCCCACCAUGGUGGGCACCCAUGGGCCCAACUGGGACCGACUGGUAGAACUGGGAUGGACCCACCAUGGUGGGCACUCAUGGAACCCAACUGGACCCAACUGGGAAUACUGGGAUGGACCCAUUAUGGUGGGCACUCAUGGAACCCAACUGGUCCCAACUGGGAGUACUGUGAUGGACCCAUUGUGGUGGGCACCCAUGGGCCCAACUGGGUGAACUGGGAAGGUCUCACCAUGGUGGGCACCCAGGGGCCUUACUGGGCCCAACUGGGUGAACUGGGAUGGUCCCACCAUGGUGGGCACCCAUGGAACCCAACCGGUUCCAACUGGGAGUACUGGGAAGGUCCCAGCAUGGUGGGCACCCAUGGGCCUAAUUGGGUCCAACUGGGAGUACUGGGAUAGACCCAUCAUGGUGGUCACCCAUGGAACCCAACUGGGAUGGGCCCAGCAUGGUGGGCACCUAUGGGCCCUACUGGGAGAAUUGGGAUGGUCCCAGCAUGGGGGACACCCAUUGGCCCAACCAGGACUAACUGGGAGUACUGGGACGGACCCAACAUGGUGGGUACCCAUGGAACCCAACUGGUAGUACUGGGAUGGACCCAUUAUAGUGGACACCCAUGGAACCUAAAUGGGCCUAACUGGGAACACUGGGAUGGUCCCACCCCACCACGGUGGGCACCCAUGGGUGCUGGGUGCCACCCUUGGGUGCCGUUGGCCAUGACUCACCCGGUGGCCAGCCCGUCCU
rnacentral:lncRNA from 1 species